UUGCAGGCAAUGACAGGGAAGAGUAAAAGGUACUUUCUCUAAAGAGAGGGGUGCCCUUGGCUGAAAGGCCCCCGGGAAAAAGGCUUUUGAACGUCGCCCUGGAGCUGUAAGGCUGAAGAGGAAGGAUUAACCCUCCCUUAUGUAAGCUUUACCGGGUCAGCCCGUUACAGCCAAAGAGUUCCAGGCGCUACAACGCUUGUGAAGUAAGGUGGUACCGCGGAAAUGAGCUUUUCGUCCUUAAA
rnacentral:ncRNA from 1 species